AGCCAGGACAGGGGACGGCCACACUGGCUGGAGUCUCCAAGCCCAUCAAGAGCAAGUUUUGCUAAAAGUGUUCUGAGAGCUUAUGAAGCACAUGGACAAGGAAGGGUUGUGCAUCCGGCUUUCCACCUUAAACUGGUUUCUAUGGUGCUUCAUCGAUGAGAUAAGGAUGCAUAGGAGACCCCAGGCCAGGAGUUCCUUCAGGACACACUGUCCUAGGCCUGGGCCCUGGAGGAGGACAUGGUGAUGAGGCACCCUGAGGCCUCCAUGGGGGAACUGAGAAGCAUGCACUGUGACCUGCACACCCAGCCAAACCUGAGCAAGCACCCCCACCACCCAGGCCUCUGCAGAUAUCCCCCAGCAUUGAGACCCUCCCCAAGGGGAUGGGCUGCUUCUCCCUGGCCCACAGCCCAGCUCCAGCAGCCCAUGGGUAUAGCCCUCCUGAAACAGGAGCCUCAUCCUCCCUCACCCUCACCUGGCUAUGCUGUACCCAAGGCCAAAGCCCAGAGGCAUAAGGGAGCUUCUGCAGAGCCCAGGACAGCAGGCUGCUCUCUGGGGGCCCUGGGGACUCAGAGUGUGGCCAGCCCAUCCCCAGCUCAGGAUAGACCACAGAGUGCUUGGUGAUUCCUGCAUUGGAACUCCCUCUCUAAGCUCCCCAUGGACCUGGACCUCAGAGGCCUGUGGUUUUCACAGUAGAGCUUGGAGCAGAGAUGCUAGGCCCCUAUCACUUCCAUAUGUGUCCUGGACACCUCUAAGAUCAUAGGACUGGCCUAGCCCCCAAUACCAGACACUGCCCAGCCCCCUGAUAGCCCAGAGGUAGGGCCAGAGACAACUCUCCUGCAUGUGAUGCCUACAGCUGAUCACUCUUGGCAGACAGUGAACAUCACGGCCCAGAAGGAGCCAGGGCAGCACUUGGCAAGCUGCCCCAAAGCCCCAGAGAGCUCCUUAGACAUGGAAAGUCAAUACUGAUGGGGAAGCUGGACACUUGGAGGCCACUGGAGGGAGGGGUGAGCAUGGUGUCCCCACAGCCCAGGCCACCCAGCAGCAUGCCCUGCAUCCAUGGUCCCAACCUGUAGGGCAGAACCCCCCUCUCAACGCACAAUUCCUAGACCCAGAGGGCCCUAGCCCAGACUCAACCUGAGCCCUGAAAGGGAAGGGGCACCAGGGGUGCCUUGGGGCCUCCAGCAGCAGCCAAGAUACACAGGAGAUGGAGCCCCCUGUGGCCCUGGCCAGAACUAGUAUUUGGCUUAAGGCGGAGCAAGCCCCCUUGGAGCACUGCGUACAUACCCGGGGCCUAUGUGUGCCUGGCAAGGCCAAGCUGAUGAUGUUACCAAGCUCAAACUACCACUGGCCACCUUGGUGAGGGUGGGGCAGAAACACGUGGACCAGCCACCAACCUCAUCCAUUCAAGGAAGCAGAAAUGGUCAGGCUCCUGCAGGAUAAGUGGCCACCACCAGACCACCAAUGGGGCAGAGUUCUGAGGCCCAAGCAGAUGGCACUGGGGCCCUGCUUCCAGGGUCCACAAUCUGCUCCAGGACACAAGACUGAAGAAAACUAAGCAAAUGAGAGUCCAGGAGGCUGGAUCCCUCAUCUGCCAUUCUUGGCAGUUGCAUUUUGUGGUCAGAAAAAGUCAGGAAACUUGGCUCUACUCACUGCAGGAGGCUCCAAGGUGGGACCAGAGCUUCCAGCAUAGAUUCAACAAUGCCUAAGAAUGCCUCUUCUUGGGGAAAAGGACCCCUUCCUUGGCCUCAAAGCCCCCACUUAUUUUGAUUAAAGCACAAUAAAG
ensembl:lncRNA LINC01015 long intergenic non-protein coding RNA 1015